rnacentral:lncRNA from 1 species
UUCACUAAGAUGAAGAUCUGGUAGCGACGGCGAAUCCGGCCGCGCUGAGUCUCGUCACCGGCGACGGAGACUCGAACCUCCGUGAUGCUCUCCGCUUCUACUCUCCUCCACUGACGUGACUACGUAUUCCACAAACCAAUCCCCGACACCGGGUUGCAACGAUAUCAAAAAAAUCGGAUUAAACGCGAAGUAGAGAAAAGUCUUACUGAUUCUGAUGUGGAGGCGCUUCGAUUCGUGCUCCCGUGGCUCCGGUUUCUUGCUCUUCCAAGAUUUCACUGAAUCGUGAUGAGGAAUCGACUGAGAUGUACUGAGUUCUCGUGUUGGUGUGGGAUUCCGUUGAAUUUGCCCUGCCGUAAGUUUCGUCUCCACUUAUGCUUGGUGCUUUUCUUCUUUCUUUUGUUCUGUUAAGCGUGUGUAUUCUCUUGCUGUUAACUUGUUAGGGCUUUCAGAAAAAUUGCUUUUGUUCUUGCUGUUGUGUUUAUGUUGUUCUGGUUUAAGGUUUUUGUUUUUGAAAAAAAAAAUUGCUUUGCUGUGUUGUUGCUGUUUAGGUUUUGAGAAGAAUUCUUACUGUGUUGUCUCUUUGGAGUUAACAGAGAAAAAAUUACUUUGAAAUUUUCUUCUGGAUUUUAUCAAAAAAAACCUGUUACUGUUAAUUAGUUUUGUGGUUUAUAUACAUGAAUGUUGGUUUCUGUAAGAUAACUUGUUGGAUCCUAUUUCCAGAUUUUGUGGGAUGAUUAAUCUAUGGAUUUAAAGUUGUUUAUUUGGAUAAUGCAGUGUGUUUCUGAGCGCUUCCUUUGAUUCAUUGUGUAACAUAUUAAUCUGCUCUUUCUAUUAAUUAUUUUCCAGCUUUUUAAGUGCUUAUUUGAUAAGUUGUUUUUGAUUUUGAAUUGGUUUUUGCAGGUGAAGUGAUGUUGAUGCUGAUUGAUUGAAAAAGGGGCGCUGUUAUUCAACAGUUUUUUUUGAAAAAGUUCUGAAGAGUUGCUUUUGAAUUGGGAACUUCCAAAAGAGCUUUUGGAAGAGUCUGUGAAAUUUGCUUCAAACUGCUGUGUUUACAGCUUAUUCCAUUUUUUUAAUAAAAUUAUUUCUGAUGUAACAGAGACCUUUUGGAUUAUGAACUUAGGGAUUGCUUGUAACAUGUACAAACUUAAUUUGGAAUUUCUCUUUUUGGCCAGUUAUGCAAUUGUUUUGGAUUAUUAGGAAUUUUUGGAUUAGUUAGGAUAUAUUAAACUGUAAGAAAAAUUGGGUUAGACGUGUAACCCUUUGGAUCAUUUGCAAAAUUUACAUAAUUUUAAUUUAAGUUUUUUUGUUAUUUAUGUGGAUACUUUUGGGUUAUUAUGUAACAUUUGGAUUAAAUUGGAAUAUCACUUGGA